rnacentral:lncRNA from 1 species
AAAGAAGAAGUGAAGUCUGAGGGUAGUGAUGUAACCUCUAACUCGUCAGGGUCUUAUCCUUCAAACCAUAGAUACCAGAAUUGUAGAGAAAGUGAUGAUGAAGAGGAGGAUGUAACGGAUUGUGAAGAAAGCGAUCUAGAUGAUGAUGAUGAUGAUGAUGGUGGGAUGCUUGAUGAAGACUAUUAUGAUGAUGAUUGUUAUGAUGAUAAGCUGCACAGCUGGGAUAAAGAAGUUUAUACUGAGGAGAUUGCAGAUAAUGUU